GCCUCUCCUGGUAGCACCUUACUGCUGGGUAUGAAGAGGUUGUCUGUGCUGCUGGUGGACUGCAGGAAAACAACAGGGCUGAGUGGAACUGUGAGAGGAGGAGAAGAGAAGAAAGGAUCAGAUUUGACUCAUCAAAGAGAGAGACAUGACUAUUGUGGAUCCUCUGGGGAGCCUCAACAACAUCCUGAUGCUGACGAGGCAGAGAAGAGUCUCUCCAGAUCAGAACACCAGAUGGACAACGCUAGCCCUUCCUCCCUGCCGCAGUCCCCGUGUCGUUCCUCUCCCGGUAGCACCUUACUGCGAGAGGAGAAUAAGAAGAAAGGAUCCGUUUUGACUCAUCAAAGUAAGUGA
rnacentral:lncRNA from 13 species